UACGUAGGGUGCGAGCGUUAAUCGGAAUUACUGGGCGUAAAGCGUGCGCAGGCGGUUUUGUAAGCCAGAUGUGAAAUCCCCGGGCUUAACCUGGGAAUGGCAUUUGGGACUGCAAGGCUUGAGUGCGGCAGAGGAGACUGGAAUUCCUGGUGUAGCAGUGAAAUGCGUAGAUAUCAGGAGGAACACCGAUGGCGAAGGCAGGUCUCUGGGCUGACACUGACGCUCAUGUACGAAAGCGUGGGGAGCAAACAGG
rnacentral:rRNA from 1 species